rnacentral:rRNA from 1 species
AACGAACGCUGGCGGCAGGCUUAACACAUGCAAGUCGAACGGGUGUAGCAAUACAUCAGUGGCAGACGGGUGAGUAACACGUGGGAACCUUCCUCGUUGUACGGAACAACUCAGGGAAACUUGAGCUAAUACCGUAUACGUCCGAGAGGAGAAAGAUUUAUCGCAAUGAGACGGGCCCGCGUCGGAUUAGCUAGUUGGUGGGGUAACGGCCUACCAAGGCGACGAUCCGUAGCUGAUCUGAGAGGAUGAUCAGCCACACUGGGACUGAGACACGGCCCAGACUCCUACGGGAGGCAGCAGUGGGGAAUCUUGGACAGUGGGCGCAAGCUUGAUCCAGCCAUGCCGCGUGAGUGAAGAAGGCCUUAGGGUUGUAAAGCUCUUUUGCCAGGGACGAUAAUGACGGUACCUGGAGAAUAAGCCCCGGCAAACUUCGUGCCAGCCGCCGCAGUAACAC